rnacentral:rRNA from 1 species
GACGAACGCUGGCGGCGUGCUUAACACAUGCAAGUCGAACGCUGAAGCUCAGCUUUUGUUGGGUGGAUGAGUGGCGAACGGGUGAGUAACACGUGAGUAACCUGCCCCCUUCUUUGGGAUAACGCCCGGAAACGGGUGCUAAUACUGGAUAUUCACUGGUCUUCGCAUGGGGGUUGGUGGAAAGGGUUUUUCUGGUGGGGGAUGGGCUCGCGGCCUAUCAGCUUGUUGGUGGGGUGAUGGCCUACCAAGGCUUUGACGGGUAGCCGGCCUGAGAGGGUGACCGGUCACAUUGGGACUGAGAUACGGCCCAGACUCCUACGGGAGGCAGCAGUGGGGAAUAUUGCACAAUGGGCGCAAGCCUGAUGCAGCGACGCCGCGUGAGGGAUGGAGGCCUUCGGGUUGUGAACCUCCUUCGCUCAUGGUCAAGCCGCAACAAUGGUUGUGGUGAGGGUAGUGGGUAAAGAAGCGCCGGCUAACUACGUG